rnacentral:rRNA from 1 species
UACGAAGGGUCCAAGCGUUAUCCGGAUUUAUUGGGUUUAAAGGGUGCGUAGGCGGCUUAUUAAGUCAGUGGUGAAAGACUUCAGCUUAACUGAAGAACUGCCAUUGAUACUGAUGAGCUUGAAUAUACUUGAGGUGGGCGGAAUGUGUCAUGUAGCGGUGAAAUGCUUAGAUAUGACACAGAACACCGAUUGCGAAGGCAGCUCGCUAAAGUAUAAUUGACGCUGAGGCACGAAAGCGUGGGUAGCAAACAGG